CUAGGAUUAAAUGUCCAAGACCAUGACUUUAAGUCCUGCACCUUAAGAAAGAAAGUCGCUUUUCCCCUCUGUCUUGAGUUGGGAUCUGUAAGACUUGGCUCACAAGGCUGCAGGAUGGUUAAGCAGCACAAGUUAGGCACAUGGUGAAUAAACAGAAGAUUCUUUCCUUUCCUUCCUGAUCCAUGCAACACCUCACACAUUUUCUAUCUCCCGUGAUCCUCGUCACAGUUCUGUGGGGUGUGUGACAUGGAUGUCACCCUCACUCAAUGGAGGAGGAAAUGGAGACCCGGAAACAGGAAGAAACAAGUCCACACUAGGGCUUUGUACCCAGCAGUCAGCUCUUCCAGCUGACCCCUCGGAGCGGAGACCCUGACUAUGCCUCCUCCACACAGCAGAGUGACAGAGCAGGAAGCUGGCCAUGGAGAACUUGGUCUCUGGAGCCAGGCAGCCUGGGUACAAGGAAGCAAGAAUCUCAGAAUCCAGCCCCAGUUGGAAGAGACCUUGGGGGGUAAACUCAGGUUCAAGUCUUGGGUCUUCAUCCCUUGUCUUUGACCUUAAAGCCCCAAGGGGCUGGGGAUUUAGCUCAGUAGUUUCACUACCUGCUGCACAAGUGCAAGGACCCGAGUUCGAUCCCCAGUACCAAAAAAAAAAAAAAAGCUUAGCCCCUUUGACCUUCAGGUUAUUCCUCUCCCAGAAGGACGAUGGCCAACACCUCCACAGCAAUCCUUUGCUCUCACCUAAUGCUUUUCACCACCAAAUGGGUUUCCCAUCAAUAUCUCAUUUAAAUAUGCCAGGCCUGGCCACCAAGGUCAGGGUGAGCAUAGACUACUGGCUGUCUCUGAUGCCAUGAGCUGGCAUCUGGCCACCCUACAUCCACCGUGGAGAGGCCAGAAACCCCUGUGAGAUCGGAACAGAGAAUCCAGGGAGAGGAAGCCGCCUGCAAUCGGGUGUGCUGGCUGGGGGUGAGCAGCCACCCAGGUAUCCCAAGGAGACAGCUUGGUCCCAGACAGGUGACCUGUGGUGUCAGCCCCUCUUCUUGUGCACAGGUGCUGCUUGGCUUGGGGGUGACUCUUCACUGCCCUUGAGAUUGGGUGCUAAUCCUUCACUUCAUGCCUGGAAGUUUUAAUAAGAACAUAGCCAUUAUGGAAACUUGAUUUUAUAUUCAGAAACUGAUUUUUUUUUUCCAGUACUGGGGAUUGAUCCCAGGGCCUUCUCACUGAGCUACUGAGACAGGAUUUUCACUAGUCACUAACUUAAAUUGUCAGGGGUGGGCUCAAACUUGUGAUCCUCCUGCCUUAGCCCUCCUAGAGUUUGGGGUUACAGGUGUGCACGACUGUUUCUGGUUAGACAUUGAUUCUUUAAAUGAUUCACAUAAUACACAUUGCAAAGAUAUAAAGCAUGGCAAAACCUUGCCCUAUAGGGAUGUAAAUAAAAAUAAGCCCAGUCCUGUCCAUGGCAGGGGCCAGGAUUUGGUCAGCAUAAAAUUGUUGUACUUCUCAGCAGAUAAGAAGUUAAUGCAAAGGAAAAUCCUGGGCUCCUGGAUCUCUUUGGGCUCCCUCGGGCUGCAGGAUUAUAAGUGUCACCUGGGGAAGAAAGAAAG
ensembl:lncRNA